CAGUAGCCGCGGUAAUACGAGGGGGGCAAGCGUUGUUCGGAAUUAUUGGGCGUAAAGGGCGCGUAGGCGGUUUGACAAGUCUUAUGUGAAAUCUUCGGGCUCAACUCGAAGUCUGCAUGGGAAACUGUCGGGCUUGAGUAUGGGAGAGGUGAGUGGAAUUUCCGGUGUAGCGGUGAAAUGCGUAGAUAUCGGAAGGAACACCUGUGGCGAAAGCGGCUCACUGGACCAUUUCUGACGCUGAUGCACGAAAGCUAGGGGAGCAAACAGGAUUAGAUACCCCGGUAGUCCCUGUCUCUUAUAC
rnacentral:rRNA from 1 species